GCUCCACCGCUGGGCAUCAGUGACGUGUGGCUGCUGCGUGCCAUUUUACAGGCGGGACAACUGAGUCUCCCCAAGGUUACACAGCGAGCUUGCUGAGUCUUAGUCUCCAGGUCUCCCUGGCUCGUGCCCAGGCUCUCAGCGGCCGUCCACUGCUGUUUCUAUCCCCCAGGAGUAUCCCCAGGAGGAUUCUGGUUUCUGUUGCAGCCGGGAGAAGCUGCAUGCUGCUCCUUGCCCCAGUCCCACCACCUGCAAAGGGGUGCGCGCUGCUAGGAGGAGGUGGGACACGCAGGGAGAAGCCCUGGCACCGAUGGGGUCUAUGCCCCGGCGCUUGGACACCUAGCACCUGGUGGGAGUCUUUGCUCAUGUCAGGCGCCUCCUCCCUGCCGCGGUGACCCAAACUCAGACAGUUGAGCCGGGCCGCCGGCAGGCCCUGUGCAUCUCAAUCACGCCGGUACCUGUCCUCAAGGGUUGCGCUACGGUUCAGACCCGACUGCAGGCGCUCCAGCGGGGGCAUCUCAUCCAGACCCGGAAUACCGCCGCUCGGGCUGAAUCUUGACGAAUGAAUGAGAGUUGGCUAGCUGAAGAAGGGACCAACUGCUGGACGUUCCACCGCUGCCCUUCACACCUGCACCCAGACUGCGUGGCACACUCCUACCUACCCUUCAAGGUCCUCCGCUGCAUACCCAGAACCUUCUGCUGUCUCCACUCUCUAAUCUGAGCCCUCUUAGAGGGCAGGGGAGGUAUGGCACACACUGCGUCCCCCACAUCAAGCAGGGUCCCAGCUCUGCGUCGGUGCCACAAGAGCCCUCCCCAGUGCCCCGCCCCCUCCAGGCGGAGACACGACGGCCUCCGCGCCCUCUGGUGGAUCUGGCGCGCAACUGCAGAGAACUCUGCCUGCCGCUCCAGUCUCCGCGGUUCCCUGAGGUCGGGCUCUGGUAAAGGUCUACCUCUUCAGCUCCUGCCCAGGAGACUGAGCAGUGCCCCCAAAGACUGCCAGGCAUCGAGCGGCAAAAGGCAUCUUCUGGUUCCAUCUGCGUGACUUCCCAGUCUGCUGAGGGCAAGUCACCACCUCUCUGAGCUGCUGUUUCCCACUGACAAUCCCAGGGCAUGUCUGCAUGGGCACUCCCUCCUUCUUGGGACCCCCAUGUCCAGCUGUAUUAGCUCAGAAAGGGAUUGAGUUCUAAAACAGUUGCCCUUGGAAGACUUUUGCCCUUCCUGGGCAGAUGUACACUGGCACGGGUUUCAGACUGAGCUCAGUUGCUGCCAUCAUAGAAGAUGGAAUGACCUGGGCUGAGGGUCAUGGUGGACCACACCACCUGGAUACUUGGUCUUUCUUUAGAUCAGUGCAGUACAACAGAGCAUUUCACCACAGUGGAAGUAUGAAUAGCUGCACUGUCUGAUACAGUAGCCACUAACCCCAUGUGGCUACUGAGUGGUUAAAAUUGUGGCUGAUAGGACUGUGGAACUGAAUUUUUAAUUGUUAUUUGUAUUGAUUUAAACUUAAACAGUUAUGUGUUGCUUGUGGCUACUGUGUUGAACACUGCAGAGCCAGAAAAGCCAUCACCUCCUUGCUGAAAUAGAGCCCAGGUCCUCUCCCCACGUGUCUACUCCAAGUCCAUCUCCAGGUGGAACCCGAAGGCCAUCCGGAAGCCUCCCCUGACCGCCCCUCACAGAGCUGGCCAACCUACUCCUCCCUCCGCGGGCUCCCGCCACAGUCAGGAGGAGUUACCGACAGCUGCAUGGUAUUAUGUCAUUUACUCUCCGUGUCCCUCCCCGACUCUCCCUUCACCCCACCCUCUGCCAGACACUGCCACGGGUCCACGGCUUGCUCGGGGACAGGCACUGUGCGGAGGCUGCGACAUUAUUCUCAUGAAGGAGCUGCAGAAGUGGACACUGGGGGUUCUGUCCUGGGCACCCAGCAUCUAUCCUCCCUCCCAUCCACCCCCGGUUCCCUCCCUCCCCACUGCCAUGGACGGCCAUGGUGAGAUGGAGUCACGAUGCCCAUCUCUGCCCGACCUGGGUCAGCGGGACUGUGGGCGGAAUGAUGUGAGCCCACCCCCAGGGAUUUCAAUGCCAGAUGACACAGGCCGUCCUUCCUGGACCUCUGGGCUACACCUCAGGCCCCCACCCUCACCCCCUCCCUGGGGGGCAGAGGAGCCGCCCCCAGCAGCCCACCAAGAAGUGCCCUGGCCAGACGGGGCUCACAACCAAGGAACCCCACUGGCUGGCCACGCGGCCUUGGGGAUGUUUCUCCGGCAGAUCUUUCCUUCCUUGGGGCCCCUAGGGCAGGAGGACCAGGAGGACCAGGGGGACCAGAGGAACAGGGGACGCUGGGAGCCGAGCCAUGCGGCGGAUCAGACAAGAUGCGCCCUCCCUACUCAGGUGGAGUGGUUUUGCGCUGGGUCCCCACAGCAUUUUGAAUUGAUGCUAAGAAAAAAUAGGUUAAGUGAUUCUUUUGGAGAAAGAAAUGCGAGCGCGCACGUCCACGCGCACCCAAGAGCACAGAAGGGAUCCCACUCCGGUUUAGGAUCUAGACCCAAACCUCAAGCUUUCAGCUGGCACCGAGGGCCCUGGAGGAGGAGCAGGGAGGAGAAGAAAGGACCCCGCCGCCCUGCCCACGGGGACCGCCCUGCCCACGGCGGACCGCUCCAUCUGGGGGCAUUUUGUCUUCCACACGCUGUGGCAGGGCUGUCAGCAAGACGAUGAGAGUGGCUAUGAGGGGGAUGGGAAGGGGAGCCCCCCAGGGGGCCUGCUUGGGAAGAGAUUCUGGAGAACGUCCCUUCCUACAGGGACCCGCGGCAUUUGGCAGGGCAGUAAGCCCCUCCCUCACUUCCGCCCCCUGCCCCCUGCCCAUCCUCAUCGCCACACCUGGGCUUCUGGUGGUGCUGUCCCCUCGGCCUGCGGACAUUCUUCUCCUCUCAGGUCCUUCAGAACAGUGUGCGGGUGACCACAUUAGUCCCGUUGUUGGGUAAGGAGCCACCUCAAACCUCGGUGGCUUGAAUCAGCAAAAAAUAACUAAAUAAAAGAGAAGCUUACUAUUUCA